rnacentral:rRNA from 1 species
AUGGGGUGGAAAGUUGUGAACGAUGUGAAGCCAUACCUGGCGAUGGUGCUGCUGCAGGUGGGGUUCGCCGGGAUGUACAUCAUCGCUGUGGCGUCCCUCAAGGCCGGGAUGAGCCACUUCGUGCUCGUCGUCUACCGUAACCUCGUCGCCACCGCCGUCAUGACGCCCUUCGCCCUCUACUUCGAGAGGGGACUGAGGCCAAAGAUGACAAUCACCAUCUUCAUCAAGGUCAUGGGGCUCGCAUUCCUCGAGCCCGUCAUGGACCAGAACCUGUACUUCAUGGGCGCGAAGCUCACCUCGGCGGGAUUCGCGACGGCCCUGGUCAACAUACUGCCGGCCGUCACCUUCGUGCUGGCCCUCAUCCUGCGCAUGGAGAAGGUGCGGCUGCGGAGCCUGCACAGUCAAGCCAAGAUCGCCGGCACGGUCCUCACGGUGGCCGGCGCUGUGCUGAUGGUCCUGUACCACGGCCCCAUCGUGCAGUUCCCGUGGACCAAGGGCCAGCACCACGCCACCGCCAGUGGCCAGGGCGCCGGCGGCGCGGCCGCCGCUCGGGACUGGCUGAACGGGACCAUCAUGGUCAUCGUCGCCUGUGUGGCCUGGGCGUGCUUCUUCAUCCUCCAGUCCAACACCCUCCAAAGCUACCCGGCGGAGCUGUCACUCACCGUGCUCAUCUGCGGCAUGGGCUCGCUCAUGAGCGGCGCCAUCGCCCUCGUCGCCGAGCGCGCCAACACCCAGGCAUGGGUCAUCGGCUUCGACACCCGCCUCUUCACCGCCGUUUACGCCGGCAUAGUGUGCUCCGGCGUGGCUUACUAUGUGCAGGGUAUCGUGUCGAGGCAAAGGGGCCCUGUAUUCGUGACGGCCUUCAACCCACUCUGCAUGAUCGUAACCGCCGUCAUGGGCUCCAUCAUUCUCAAGGAGGAGAUCAAUCUCGGAAGUGUGAUUGGUGCAGCCAUCAUCGUGGGAGGCCUCUACUUUCUCAUCUGGGGCAAGAGCAAGGAUGAGAUUAACAAAGUCUACGACGCCAGCGUCAAGGGCGCCGGCGAGCUGCCCUUAACCUCGGUGACCAACGGCCACCGCCACGGCAAGCAGCACGAGCUCGGCAACAGCAACGGAAGCCAUGUUUUGGACGUCAAGACGCCGACGACCAAUGACCACUACUUGCCAAGGGAUCUACCGGAGUAG